GUGCUCGCUUUGGCAGCACAUAUACUAAAAUUGGAACGAUACAGUGAAGUUUAACAUGGCCCCUGCACAAGAAUGACAUAUUUAAAAAAGCAAACAAAAAAACCCAC
ensembl:snRNA U6 U6 spliceosomal RNA